AUUGAACGCUGGCGGCAGGCCUAACACAUGCAAGUCGAACGAGUGGCGGACGGGUGAGUAAGGUCUGGGAAACUGCCUGAUGGAGGGGGAUAACUACUGGAAACGGUAGCUAAUACCGCAUACCAUCAGAUGUGCCCAGAGGGGUUUAGCUUGUUGGUGGGGUAACGGCUCACCAAGGCGACGAGCCCUAGCUGGUCUGCGAGGGUGACCAGCCACACUGGAACUGUGGCACGGUCCAGACUCCUACGGGAGGCAGCAGUGGGGAAUAUUGCACAAUGGGCGAAAGCCUGAUGGAGCCAUGCCGCGUGUAUGAAGAAGGCCUUCGGGUUGUAAAGUACUUUCAGCGGUGAGGCGGUACCCGCAGAAGAAGCACCGGCUAACUCCGUGCCAGCAGCCGCGGUAAUUC
rnacentral:rRNA from 1 species